rnacentral:rRNA from 1 species
CAGUAGCCGCGGUAAUACGAAGGGUGCAAGCGUUAAUCGGAAUUACUGGGCGUAAAGCGUGCGUAGGCGGUUUGUUAAGACAGAUGUGAAAUCCCCGGGCUCAACCUGGGAACUGCAUUUGUGACUGGCAAGCUAGAGUGUGGCAGAGGGGGGUGGAAUUCCGUGUGUAGCAGUGAAAUGCGUAGAUAUGCGGAGGAACACCGAUGGCGAAGGCAGCCCCCUGGGCCAACACUGACGCUCAUGCACGAAAGCGUGGGGAGCAAACAGGAUUAGAUACCCCUGUAGUCCCUGUCUCUUAUAC